GGCAGGAUGGAGGAUUUGGGUGAGCAUUGGGUACCGGGGAGCCCUGAUCCCGAGCUUGCAGCGGGGUUGGAGCUCCAGGAGGUCGGGGGCUUCUUGGGGAUGCUGCAGAGGGGACGGUGGAGGAGCUUGGGGGAUGAAGCUGGGUGUCUGAGCGAGCGCUUUGCCAAAAAUGGAGAGCCUUGAGGCAGGAAAUAGGCUUCUGGCGUGAGCGGCGGUGAUGCAAGCACAGCUCCACAAAAUGGGGACAAACCGCCCAAAGAUGAAGAGCACCGCAUCCGAGGGGGCCAGGGGGCAGCCCUGGGUGGGGAGAUGGGGCCAGGGAAGCGGCCGCCCUACGUGGGGUGUGAAAAGCCAGCUCCUGCUGCAAGGGAAAAGUGAAAAGAGAAAGUGCUGUGCCCUCCCUUAGCGGCGGAGGGGCUGAUCUGAGAAACGGGGCUGUGGUUUUGGGGGGGAGCGGCGGUGGGGUGAGGGUGCUUAGGGCCCCUGCCGCCCCUCAGGGCCCUGGCAUCCGUCUGGAAAGGAGAAAGGGCGAUGGCAGAAAACACCCCGCUGCCACUUCUGCUCCUCAGCCCUCAGGGGCAGACACGGCAUGAGCCUUGUGCCGGGGGGCUGUGGGGGUCCCAGCUCUGUCCUCCCCCUGCAGAUGCUUUGCUGGCGGAGCUGGAGCAGAGCUCCCGGCCAGCCUCCAUGGACUACACGCUGCUGGCCCCGAGCUCCGCACAGCAGGACACGGCCGCGGCCAGACCCUCAGCCAACUGCAGCCAGAAGAAACAUGCCCCAGCACCCCCAAAGGGAUGUGUCCUCGCAGGUGAAACUGCCGCCCCGGGCUCAGCCUCCCCACAAGGAUUUGGAGACUGUGUACAGGUAAAAUACAGCCAGAGGGUGGCCAAGCUGUCAGGGUUACCUCUUCCUUAGCUCCAGCAUCAGCUUUCCAGCAUCACCUGGUGGCCUCAGUGUUCCCACAGCAAACAGGUCCUUGUGGAAAACGGUCUGAGAGAGGCUGGGGGUUGAGGAGGGGUCCUGUGGGGUGAGGGAUGUGCUCCUCACCUCACCCUGGGAGCGGUCCCAGCUAUCAGCAUACCUGUCCUUUACUGCUUGUGGGGAAAGGGGCAGCUCUGUUGGGGUGGAGGGAUAGUCCCUGGUGC
rnacentral:lncRNA from 1 species